rnacentral:rRNA from 1 species
UGAACGCUGGCGGCGUGCCUAACACAUGCAAGUCGAGCGAGACGGUUGUUAUUGAACCUUCGGGUGAUUUAAUAACUAGACAGCGGCGGACGGGUGAGUAACGCGUGGGUAACCUGCCUUAUACUGGGGGAUAACGUUUUGAAAAGAACGCUAAUACCGCAUAAGCGCACAGUAUCGCAUGAUACAGUGUGAAAAACUCCGGUGGUAUAAGAUGGACCCGCGUCAGAUUAGCUAGUUGGUGAGAUAAAAGCUCACCAAGGCGACGAUCUGUAGCCGACCUGAGAGGGUGAUCGGCCACAUUGGGACUGAGACACGGCCCAAACUCCUACGGGAGGCAGCAGUGGGGAAUAUUGCACAAUGGGGGAAACCCUGAUGCAGCGACGCCGCGUGAAGGAUGAAGGAUUUCGGUUCGUAAACUUCUAUCAGCAGGGAAGAUAGUGACUGUACCUGACUAAGAAGCCCCGGCUAACUAC